rnacentral:rRNA from 1 species
AGCCCAAACCAACAAGCUUGCUUGUUGGGGUUGUAGGACACUCUAUACGGAGUUACAAAGGACGACAUUAGACGAAUCAUCUGGAAAGAUGAAUCAAAGAAGGUAAUAAUCCUGUAGUCGAAAAUGUUGUCUCUCUUGAGUGGAUCCUGAGUACGACGGAGCACGUGAAAUUCCGUCGGAAUCUGGGAGGACCAUCUCCUAAGGCUAAAUACUCUCUAGUGACCGAUAGUGAACCAGUACCGUGAGGGAAAGGUGAAAAGCACCCCGGAAGGGGAGUGAAAUAGAACCUGAAACCGUGUGCUUACAAGUAGUCAGAGCCCGUUAAUGGGUGAUGGCGUGCCUUUUGUAGAAUGAACCGGCGAGUUACGAUUUGAUGCAAGGUUAAGCAGUAAAUGUGGAGCCGUAGCGAAAGCGAGUCUGAAUAGGGCGUUUAGUAUUUGGUCGUAGACCCGAAACCAGGUGAUCUACCCUUGGUCAGGUUGAAGUUCAGGUAACACUGAAUGGAGGACCGAACCGACUUACGUUGAAAAGUGAGCGGAUGAACUGAGGGUAGCGGAGAAAUUCCAAUCGAACCUGGAGAUAGCUGGUUCUCUCCGAAAUAGCUUUAGGGCUAGCCUCAAGUGAUGAUUAUUGGAGGUAGAGCACUGUUUGGACGAGGGGCCCCUCUCGGGUUACCGAAUUCAGACAAACUCCGAAUGCCAAUUAAUUUAACUUGGGAGUCAGAACAUGGGUGAUAAGGUCCGUGUUCGAAAGGGAAACAGCCCAGACCACCAGCUAAGGUCCCAAAAUAUAUGUUAAGUGGAAAAGGAUGUGGCGUUGCCCAGACAACUAGGAUGUUGGCUUAGAAGCAGCCAUCAUUUAAAGAGUGCGUAAUAGCUCACUAGUCGAGUGACACUGCGCCGAAAAUGUACCGGGGCUAAACAUAUUACCGAAGCUGUGGAUUGUCCUUUGGACAAUGGUAGGAGAGCGUUCUAAGGGCGUUGAAGCAUGAUCGUAAGGACAUGUGGAGCGCUUAGAAGUGAGAAUGCCGGUGUGAGUAGCGAAAGACGGGUGAGAAUCCCGUCCACCGAUUGACUAAGGUUUCCAGAGGAAGGCUCGUCCGCUCUGGGUUAGUCGGGUCCUAAGCUGAGGCCGACAGGCGUAGGCGAUGGAUAACAGGUUGAUAUUCCUGUACCACCUAUAAUCGUUUUAAUCGAUGGGGGGACGCAGUAGGAUAGGCGAAGCGUGCGAUUGGAUUGCACGUCUAAGCAGUAAGGCUGAGUAUUAGGCAAAUCCGGUACUCGUUAAGGCUGAGC